CCCAGACUCCUACGGGAGGCAGCAGUGGGGAAUAUUGCACAAUGGGGGAAACCCUGAUGCAGCGACGCCGCGUGAGUGAGGAAGUAUUUCGGUAUGUAAAGCUCUAUCAGCAGGGAAGAAAAAAUGACGGUACCUGACUAAGAAGCACCGGCUAAAUACGUGCCAGCAGCCGCGGUAAUACGUAUGGUGCAAGCGUUAUCCGGAUUUACUGGGUGUAAAGGGGGCGCAGGCGGUACGGCAAGUCUGAUGUGAAAGCCCGGGGCUCAACCCCGGUACUGCAUUGGAAACUACCGGACUGGAGUGUCGGAGGGGUAAGUGGAAUUCCUAGUGUAGCGGUGAAAUGCGUAGAUAUUAGGAGGAACACCAGUGGCGAAGGCGGCUUACUGGACGAUCACUGACGCUGAGGCUCGAAAGCGUGGGGAGCAAACAGGAUUAGAUACCCCAGUA
rnacentral:rRNA from 1 species